AACAAAUCAAAAAACACAACCACAAAUUAAAAAACACAAUGAUAUUAACUUUAACGGAAAAGGUAGGUACCUGCAGUCGACAAGGGUCGUCGCUGAUUGGACGAACGCGAUGUCCAUCUUUUUAACCGGAAGUAAAUGCUUCAUACGCCUUUGGCAGAGAACUGUCAACAAAGUAAGCAGAGAUUUAAAAUUCAUGAUGUAUUGCCCAAAUUGUGGCAAAGAGCUCCCAGAAAAUGUACGGCCGAACUUUUGCAGUGGUUGUGGCAAGAGGUUACAAGAUUUUACAUCCAUUAAGAGUGAUUGUAUUAUCCCCUGUGACUGCUGAUAAACAUUGUUUGACUCUGAGGCAGUCACUUACAGACCUGGGGCCCGUUUCUGAAAGAAGGUUGAACAAACCCUCAGUCUAACCCUGAGCUCUGAGUUGAUUUACUCUCAGAUGGGAAACUCUGAGUUUUUGGUUCCAGAUCAGCAGAUUUAAAUUAGUUAAAUCAACUCUGAGUAGGUUCACUUGGUGUUCAGCGCGUGCACCACGACGAUAAAAAGCCAACAUGAAUGGAGCCCCGAUACUACGAUUUACCAUGGCAAUAGGUGACAAAAAAGAGAUCCUCCUAAUUUAACCAUCUCGAAAUACAUCAAUAUCUUCAUGUGGCCACAGGCUACGGCGAAUAUGAACAGAAAAGUGGUGUAAGAGAAAACAGCUGCUCGCGUCAGCACGUAAAGUCUAUUAAUUUAAUAUCUAAUCAGAAUUAUAAUAUUGCAGGUCAAAACUGAUGGAAUGGUAGGCUAUUAAACCUAUACAAUUUAUUUUCAUUAAGAUGCAAUCCAGCAGAAGAAAAUCGACUUUUAAACAGCUCAAAAUGAAAUAUAAUAACAUAAUAGGCUCAUAUAGAUUCAUAGUUAACUUCAUUCAGAGUUUAUUUGAAUGUGCAUUAACUUUAUCCUCAACAUAAAGCUGUAUUCACACACAUAGGCUAAAUGUCCUCUCACCUUUAUCCUGUUUAGUUUAGAAAUUAACCCUAUUAACAUCUCCCGACGUUAAUGUAGCAUAAGCUCUAAUUCUCUGAGGAGUAAUGCAGCCCCUUCUUACCGACUUAAAGACAUGCCAUGUUCGAUAAAACAGUUUGUUUUAUACGCUGUAGUAGGCUAUUGCCAUCCUAACAUAUCAUAUUAAAACAACCUGGAUUUUUAUUCAGACAAAUGGUGAAUCUUCACUAACACGGCGUGAUACGGACUGAAUGAAAUAAUGAGGAAAUUAAAUGGCAUUUCUGGCUCUGAAAGAGGGAGGAGACCUAGAGAAACUCGGGGUUCAUUGAAGAAAACCUGCUCCCGACCAGGUUAGGUUCACAGACUCAGUUACCAUAGUAACUGACUCAGAGGUAAAGUAACCUCUCCCUCUGAAACAGGCUGGAGUUACCCCUCUUUCUCGGGUUUGAGUGACCUCCUCUUCUGAAACGGAAUACCCAGAGUUUCCCUCAUUUCAGGGUUAACUGACUCAGAGUUUACACAAAACCUUCUUUCAGAAACGGCCCCCUGAUCUGUUAAUGUAUUUAGAUGUUUUCAAACCUUGGAGACGGUUCACACUUCACGGUUCUUGUCCUGAUUUUAGCUCCUUGUUUUUUAUUUUGCUGUUUCUUUGUUUUCAUGGCUUACUCUCAUUCGAAAAAAUACUAUGACAGUGUAUGUACUAACAAAUAUGAUGUAUUCUGCAUUUUUUUCCAGCAACAUAUGUUGGUUUUCAAUAAAUAAAACAAUACUUUAUGAUGGUAAAAUACUGGUGUGUACAGAUGUCAAUUGUGUAAUUUGUUGUGAAUUCUUUAGCUUGUGACUUCUGUAGCAUUAAUGCACAGUAUCUGCUGUUAACAUGGCAUACUAUACAAGGAAACUGUCAACUAGAUUUUCUAUAAACAUUUUUUCUCAGCUAUAUGUUUACUGUAACAUGGAAUAUGUGGUAAGGGCUUCAGUAUAGUCCAUAUCUAUAGCCCAGCUAUUUUGUGGCUGCUGUAAUCCA